AGUGAACGCUGGCGGUAGGCCUAACACAUGCAAGUCGAACGGCAGCACAGUAAGAGCUUGCUCUUACGGGUGGCGAGUGGCGGACGGGUGAGGAAUACAUCGGAAUCUACUUUUUCGUGGGGGAUAACGUAGGGAAACUUACGCUAAUACCGCAUACGACCUACGGGUGAAAGCAGGGGAUCUUCGGACCUUGCGCGAUUGAAUGAGCCGAUGUCGGAUUAGCUAGUUGGCGGGGUAAAGGCCCACCAAGGCGACGAUCCGUAGCUGGUCUGAGAGGAUGAUCAGCCACACUGGAACUGAGACACGGUCCAGACUCCUAUGGGAGGCAGCAGUCGGGAAUAUUGGACAAUGGGCGAAAGCCUGAUCCAGCCAUACCGCGUGGGUGAAGAAGGCCUUCGGGUUUUAAAGCCCUUUUGUUGGGAAAGAAAAGCAGCAGGUUAAUACCCCGCUGUUCUGACGGUACCCAAAGAAUAAGCACCGGCUAACUUCGUG
rnacentral:rRNA from 1 species